AUUGAACGCUGGCGGCAUGCCUUACACAUGCAAGUCGAACGGUAACAGGUCUUCGGAUGCUGACGAGUGGCGAACGGGUGAGUAAUACAUCGGAACGUGCCCGAUCGUGGGGGAUAACGAAGCGAAAGCUUUGCUAAUACCGCAUACGAUCUACGGAUGAAAGCAGGGGACCGCAAGGCCUUGCGCGAACGGAGCGGCCGAUGGCAGAUUAGGUAGUUGGUGGGAUAAAAGCUUACCAAGCCGACGAUCUGUAGCUGGUCUGAGAGGACAACCAGCCACACUGGGACUGAGACACGGCCCAGACUCCUACGGGAGGCAGCAGUGGGGAAUUUUGGACAAUGGGCGAAAGCCUGAUCCAGCCAUGCCGCGUGCAGGAUGAAGGCCUUCGGGUUGUAAACUGCUUUUGUACGGAACGAAAAGACUCUGGUUAAUACCUGGGGUCCAUGACGGUACCGUAAGAAUAAGCACCGGCUAACUACGUG
rnacentral:rRNA from 1 species